rnacentral:rRNA from 1 species
AUGGAUCUGGCGAUCGAAGCCUUCCUCGACCGACUGGACAACACCCUCAAGGCCCAAAACAAGGCAAUAGCGGAGAUCCAAGCGUCCACGACCAAGAUCGACGAUCUGGUCAACUGGCGUCCCGAUCUGGAGAAGCGCGUCUCUGAUCUGGGUGACGCGGUGGCGGCGCUCCAGAUGGCGCAGCCGCCGUCCAACAAGUCGAGCGACGAGCCUCAGGGGACGAAUCCGAAGCAAAACCCUUCUGCGACGACCGGCGUGCUCACGGGGCCCGGUGGCGGCGAGGGCAGCGAUCUGCGAGGGCCAAGUGGCCACGGCGUUUUCAAGUUACCACGGGGAACGUGGCGGCGUCCUUCCUGA